rnacentral:rRNA from 1 species
AACGAACGCUGGCGGCAUGCCUAACACAUGCAAGUCGAACGAUGCCUUCGGGCAUAGUGGCGCACGGGUGCGUAACGCGUGGGAAUCUGCCUUUCGGUUCGGAAUAACUCAGGGAAACUUGAGCUAAUACCGGAUAACGUCGCAAGACCAAAGAUUUAUCACCGAAAGAUGAGCCCGCGUAGGAUUAGCUAGUUGGUGAGGUAAAGGCUCACCAAGGCGACGAUCCUUAGCUGGUCUGAGAGGAUGAUCAGCCACACUGGGACUGAGACACGGCCCAGACUCCUACGGGAGGCAGCAGUGGGGAAUAUUGGACAAUGGGCGAAAGCCUGAUCCAGCAAUGCCGCGUGAGUGAUGAAGGCCUUAGGGUUGUAAAGCUCUUUUACCCGGGAAGAUAAUGACGGUACCGGGAGAAUAAGCCCCGGCGAACUCCGU